CCUCAUUGCCUUUAUCUUUGGCUAAUAAAACAUUUGAAUCAAACAAUGGUGAAUUUAUUUGUUUUACUGAGUUAUGCUAUUUAUUUCCAUAUUUAUACUUGUCAGCCACAAGUACAACAAUCCCUCAUUUGUGCAAGUCAAGUUUAAUGAGGAAGUGCUCCAAUAGAGGAAGGAUGUAUCUUGUACACUUGAGUGUUGCUUCUGCAGUUAAAGCUCGGUUUGAGAUCACUGUGAACGGUUUGACUUGAGGUGAUCUGUGGAGUUCAUGUUUAAAAUGCAGAUCAUUUGGAGUUGUACAAUCCUCUCUAUGUUAGUAUUAAAUAUCUUAUGUACAGGCCUUGAAAAUGAGGACUGGAGCAUCACCUUCAAUCCACCAGAAGUUACUGCAGUUCCAGGAUUAUGUGUUCUUGAUUUCAUGUACCUUCACCUAUCCAGACAAAGCAAAACCUAUUGAUAACGUUCAGUGGAUAGAGUGUAAAGGAAAUGGUCAAUGUAAUAAUGUCAGAUU